rnacentral:tRNA from 1 species
GGGGAUUUAGCUCAGUGGUAGAGCACUUGCCUCGGAAGGCGCAAGGCCCUGGGUUCGGUCCCCAGCUCCG